rnacentral:rRNA from 1 species
UUGAUCCUGGCUCAGAAUCAACGCUGGCGGCGUGCCUAACACAUGCAAGUCGAACGCGAAAGCCCCGCAAGGGGUAAGUAGAGUGGCAGACGGGUGAGUUACGCGUGGGUGACCUACCUUCGAGUGGGGGAUAACGCCCCGAAAGGGACUCUAAUACCGCAUGACAUCCUGCCUUUGAACAGGUGGUGAUCAAAGCCGGUACCGCAAGGUCUGGCGCUUGAUGAGGGGCCCGCGUCCGAUUAGCUAGUUUGUGGGGUAAUGGCUCACCAAGGCGACGAUCGGUAGCCGGCCUAAGAGGGUGGACGGCCACACUGGGACUGAGACACGGCCCAGACUCCUACGGGAGGCAUCAGUGGGGAAUUGUUCGCAAUGGGCGCAAGCCUGACGACGCAACGCCGCUUGGAGGAUGAAGAUCUUCGGGUCGUAAACUCCUGUCGAGCGGGACGAAUUAUCUGCGACCUAAUACGUCGUAGAAGUGACGGUACCGCUAGAGGAAGCCUCGGCUAACUCCGUGCCAGCAGCCGCGGUAAUAAGGU